rnacentral:rRNA from 1 species
UACAGAGGUGGCAAGCGUUGUUCGGAAUUACUGGGCGUAAAGGGCGCGUAGGCGGCCAUCUAAGUCAGACGUGAAAUCCCCCGGCUUAACCUGGGAACUGCGUCUGAUACUGGAAGGCUUGAAUCCGGGAGAGGGAUGUGGAAUUCCAGGUGUAGCGGUGAAAUGCGUAGAUAUCAGGAGGAACACCGGUGGCGAAGGCGGGUCUCUGGGCCGAUACUGACGCUGAGGAGCGAAAGCGUGGGGAGCGAACAGG